rnacentral:piRNA from 1 species
UACCUACUAUCAUAGGACUCACUUCGCCUC